GGAAUGUGGCUCAAGUGGUAGUGCGCUCGCCUGGCAUGUGUAGGGUGCUGGGUUCGAUCCUCAGCACCA
rnacentral:tRNA from 1 species